UAUGUAGCUCUCGUGUUCGAUUUUGCAUAUUUUCACUACCAAAUCUAUCCUUUAUGUUCUAAUUUACAAAAUUAGAUAACUCUACGCGCAAUUUCAACAUGGUAAAAAACUGCAAUACCUACAUUAAAAAGAAGAGUUAGUUAUUUAAUUGCGUCAGAACAUUAAAAAUGAAUUUUAUAAUUUCGAGCUUAUAUAUAGUUAUUUUCGGGGUCAAUCUCCAGAUGGAGCUAGUUUUCAAAUAGACAGCUCAUAAUGCGUAGAGAGGGCUCGACGAGUUUCGUUGGAACGACGAGUUACGUGUUUUCAGGCUGCAAUCAUACCGCGAAUAUAUGUGAAGGGGCAAGACCCCUACUAACUGGAGAGGUAGUUGGAGAUAAGGCCCAGACGUAUAUGGGAUCCUAAUCAACACAGCAGCCCUCUUUGCUGUCAGAGCCAUUUGCCUUAAUUUCAUCAACUAUAGGAUUUAUAACACCAGAAAUUAUCAGACCCUAAAUUAGACAGAAAUGCAUGGAAAACAUCAAAGAAUGGAAUAUUGCCAAGAGAUUCAAGAAUAUAUUAUGCUGAUACUCCUGAAAAGAACAGAUUGGAACUGAAACACUUAAGACACAUAAGCUAUCCAUAUUUAGGUUGAAAUAUUACUUCAAAUGAAUGAAUGAACUAAAUCAGUUUGCGAUUAAAUUUCUUGUCAAUUUCACGUCAAUCUAAAAUGGAUAGCUUUAAUGACGUCGUGGUAAGAAUUAGCAAAGCAGUUCAUUUUAGGUUGUCAAUUGAAUCGAAAUAAGAGUUCAUGGUAGGCCCGCUGGAAAACCCGUGUACAAUGUGCAAUAAAAGAUCCGUUACCUAUUGUUUGUGUGCCAAUUCGUAGUUUUGAUUAAUAAAUACCAAUGAGUAUAUAAGUAAUAUUGAUUAAUUCAUUAAGGAAAGAAGAAAACUUUACAAAAAUUGUUUUCCUAUUUUGAUUUAACUACAACUGAUCAAUUGUUUCAUAUUUAUAAAUACUAGAGUGUAAAAAAAAACAAUAUUGUUAAUUAUUACUAUCAUUAAGGCCAAUUCUCAGUUAAUUUUGAUCUCAAUAAAGCUUACGUUGAGUAUAAA